CCACAAAUUGUUGGAACUCUCAUAUUGUUAGGGUCUCUCUUGGACAACUCUUUAUGUGAAUGAAGGAACACAUCUCCCCAAAUACUGAACCCAGUACCCAUUUUUGGUAUAAAGCUUAUAGGGAAAGCAUGUUAAAAACAAUGAUGGAUACCUUCCAUAUCAACCAUUCUGGAUUCACUCUACAUUUCUGUAAUGAAUAAUUUGAAUACAUACUUUUGGAGUUUUAAAAGAUCCUACAUUACAAUAGACAUUGCCAUAUGUUUUCUCCUAGGAAUACCUAGUGGUGACAAGAAAGGGGUGCAGGAUAUAGGCCACUUUUCUCAAUGAAGAAAAAAUAUCAAGAGAGCUAUCUUGAUAGAAUAACCGAAAAUCAAGAGAUAAAACAAAACUAUAAAACAUAUUCAUAACUCCGAACGACCAGAUAGAGGAGAUUUUAAACCAUGGAAAAAUAUUUUGAGCAACAGCUAACUGUCCAGUUAGUAGCAGACAGUGUUAAGAAGAUCUUUAUGAACAUACCACGGCAGCAACAAAUCAGAUUGCCCAUCUUCGAAGACGCUAGGUAUAGAUCUGAGAACUCACUCGCUAUCAGAUUUGAAGUGCUCAGCUCAGAGACUGGCAGUUGGAAAAACGGGCAUCUUACAUCAUUUCAUCACCAUGGCAACAGAGCUUUCAUGGGGAAUGCAGGUGCACACCGUCCAACGUCUGCUGUGUGGACAGCUCAAGUUUGGACAUGUGUGAAAAUGUACAAGAAGCACGAGAAUUGAGAAGCACUUGACUUCUGAGUUCGGUUCCAUGUGGAAUAAAAACACAUGUGGCACCAUUUCUGUCAUCAGGAAAUCUCAGUCCUCCCAGAAUUAAAUUAAAACAUAAUCGGAUGAUGAAAUAGAACUGAGCCCCCUUUGAAAGGAGUUGGAAACCAGAGAAGAAUCUCCUAGAGGAGGAGUCCACUCUUCUGCAACCUCCUUUUUGCUGAUCAUGACUUGGACUGUUGUACGAGAUGUUGAAUUCAGUUUCUCCCAUUGAUUGGUUCAACCUCUCAGCUGCUGCUGUGGGUCUGAGCCACGGCCAGGUUGGAGUGGUUCUGUGAGUUGGGAGGAUCUCUCAGCCUAGACUGGCAAUUGCAGGCAGAAAUAGAAUGGGACCCACCCAUGUCAACUACACAUUGUCUAGUAGCUCUAUGGUAAAAAGAAACAAGUCAAAAAUCAAAUCAUUGUAAUGGGCAAAAUGGUACCACUUCAACGUGUAUUUGAUUUCAAAAAUACAUUGUUUUUAAAACCUCAACAAGAAAGUUUCUUCUUCUUCUUCUUCUUCUUCU